UUUUUUUUUUUUUUUCAGAAAGGAAAAGAGACUCACAGACUUCAAAAACCAACCUAAACUUCAGAUUUGCUAUGGACAGUCAGCACGGGAUGUUCUGCACACUCAGUCGUGGUCAUCCCUAUUUUCUCGCCUGCUUUCUCUCUCAACACCAUAGCUCACGUCCCUGAGCUUGCCAGAGAAAGCUACUGACGAUACACAACAAUUGCCAGGGCCCCUCUGUAUACUGCCCUGAAAAGACGAGCCAAAGCACCAUCUAUUCAGUGAAGGGGAGGCAGCCCAUGAGCAGCAUGGCCCCAGCACUGAAUUCCCUCCGUCCCUUGCAAAGAGCAGUUAACUUGGUGCUAAUGUGUCCUGGUGAAGUAAAUAAAAGAUGAGUACUUUUUGUGGCAUUUUAGGCAUAGGUUUCCUGUCAGGAUCUGUUUUUCCCCAACAUAAAUAUCAGCUCAUGUUUGUAUUCCAAAAAGAUUUCUUACAUUACUGACUUAAGUCUAUUCUACACCUCACCUGGAAACUAACGUUGUGAGGACCGUUGCCCUGGGCUCCCUUGACUAACGUUAGAAGAGGGGACAGCUAGUGUUCCCUCAGGAGUGUGCACCAGCCUCAAGGCCAGGAGCAGAGGGCUUCCAGGCGCAGCAUCAGAUUACUCCGCUAGAAGGAACCAAGCACAGCAUGUAACAGGACUAAACCUGAGUGGGGAUACAAAUCGUAUUCUACAGCACAUCACAAUACCGCUGCUAACUGUGCAGUCAACCACAUGGCUACGUGAUAUGCUCUCUUCCUAAAUAAUAGCAAUAGGAUUGUCAGUGGAGGCUGAGCCACCAUGGCAGUCCCUCCAAAGUACUGUGCUAUGUGGACUACUUAGGGAGUCCCAAGGAAACUGGUACCCCAUGACUGAGAGCAGUAUCUGCCACUGGCAAAAAGUCCUGCCAAAAAAGGAAAGGGCCCUGAUCCAAGGACAAUCCACCCUUGUGGAGAUCUCUGCCACUCUCCAAAGAGCACUAGGAUCAUCCUUAAGCGUUUAUGCUCCAAAAGGCCAGAGCCUGUUCCUGUCUGACAGCCCCCCACACCAUUUCCAGACAUGCCAGAUGGCCUCACUGACCUAUUUCAACACAACUGGAGCAGAAUGAUUCCUGUGUUGGCUUCGGGUAAGUUUCAAGAAAGGUGGGUUUCUCUGUUUCAGUCAGAGCUAGACCAUCAGGUUGCUGCCAGCAAACAAAUUCCUUGACCUUCUGCGGUGGGUCUACAGAGUGGAACCAGGUGUUCUUUCAGCCCAUGCCAGAAUGUACUGGCCGCCCAACUGGCCACCUGCCUCCACCCCACCGACUGGGCUUUGGCUGGCCUUCUACCAAACAGCUGUGCUGGGAGCCACAGGUGGCCGCCCACGCUUGUGCCCAGGCCAGCAGCUGCACUGGCCUGAAUCAGCCUGGCGAGAUGGACCUCAUGUGCCUCUGCCCCUCUGCCCCAACUCCUGAGGAGAAGGAAAACUAAAGCUUCAGUACACUAAGAAAUGUUUUUGUGGUCGAAAGACAAUCACAACACUUACUGUUCUCUUCCCAUCAUCAAUUUGGGUGUUUUGUUUUUAAUGAUUCAAAUGAAUCUGAUGUAAAUGAUUAGACAUUAAGCUCCUGUUUUA